rnacentral:rRNA from 1 species
UACGUAGGGUGCGAGCGUUGUCCGGAAUUAUUGGGCGUAAAGCGCGUGUAGGCGGCAUUGCAAGUCGCGUGUGAAAGCCCUCGGCUCAACCGAGGAAGUGCGCGCGAAACUGCAGUGCUUGAGUACCGGAGAGGGUGGCGGAAUACCCCAAGUAGAGGUGAAAUUCGUAGAUAUGGGGUGGAACACCGGUGGCGAAGGCGGCCACCUGGACGGAUACUGACGCUGAGACGCGAAAGCGUGGGUAGCAAACAGGG